rnacentral:tRNA from 1 species
GGCCGACUAGCUCAGUUGGUUAGAGCGUCGUGCUAAUACAAUGUUAACGCGAAGGUCUUGGGUUCGAUCCCCACGUUGGCCA